rnacentral:rRNA from 1 species
ACAUACAGGGCUACUUCUAGUCUUGUAAUUGGAAUGAGUACAACUUACAUCUCUUCACGAGGAUCAAUUGGAGGGCAAGUCUGGUGCCAGCAGCCGCGGUAAUUCCAGCUCCAAUAGCGUAUAUUAAAGUUGUUGCAGUUAAAAAGCUCGUAGUCGGAUUUCGGGUCGGGCCGAGCGGUCUGCCGAUGGGUAUGCACUGUUCGGCGCGGCCUUCUUUCCGGAGACCGCGGCUACUCUUAACUGAGCGGGCGCGGGAGACGGAUCGUUUACUUUGAAAAAAUCAGAGUGUUUCAAGCAGGCAGCUCGCUCUUGCAUGGAUUAGCAUGGGAUAAUGAAAUAGGACUCUGGUGCUAUUUUGUUGGUUUCGAACACCGGA